rnacentral:rRNA from 1 species
GACGAACGCUGGCGGCGUGCUUAACACAUGCAAGUCGAACGGAAAGGCUCCAGCUUGCUGGAGUACUCGAGUGGCGAACGGGUGAGUAACACGUGGGUAAUCUGCCCUUCACUCUGGGAUAAGCCUGGGAAACUGGGUCUAAUACUGGAUAUGACCUUUCUCCUUAUGGGGUUUGGUGGAAAGUUUUUCGGUGUAGGAUGAGCCCGCGGCCUAUCAGCUUGUUGGUGGGGUGAUGGCCUACCAAGGCGACGACGGGUAGCCGGCCUGAGAGGGUGAUCGGCCACAUUGGGACUGAGAUACGGCCCAGACUCCUACGGGAGGCAGCAGUGGGGAAUAUUGCACAAUGGGCGGAAGCCUGAUGCAGCGACGCCGCGUGAGGGAUGACGGCCUUCGGGUUGCAAACCUCUUUCAGCAGGGACGAAGCGUAAGUGACGGUACCUGCAGAAGAAGCACCGGCUAACUAUGUG